GCCGAAGUGGCGGAAUAGGCAGACGCCCGCGACUCAAAAUCGCGUGGGGUAACCCCCCGUGAGGGUUCGACUCCCUCCUUCGGCACCA
rnacentral:tRNA from 1 species